GGCUAGGUAGCUCAGUUGGUACGAGCGUCCGCCUGAAAAGCGGAAGGUCGGCGGUUCGACCCCGCCCCUAGCCACAA
rnacentral:tRNA from 4 species